AUUUGCCACCUUAUGGUAAUUUAUGUGCAUUGUUGUUAUUUUGCAUGAAAAGGUCGAUAAGAGCAAUCUACAAGGUGGGUGUUCUCUCUCCCCCCAGCGCUGAAUUAGUGUUGUGAACGACCGAAAAAGUGGGCUGCCGGGUUAUCGCCUAUGCAGAUAAUGUGGCACCUAUUUUAAGGAGACGAUUUCUAGAUACCCUUUUUGAUCUGAUUCAACGUUACCUGAAUUUGGUGGGCAGGCAACUACGGCCUCGAAGUUAACCCCCCAGCAUAGUCUUAUUUACCAGAAAGUACAAGGUGACCCUUCGCUCCAUCGGGGAUGGUCGUCUGCAGCUCUCUGUUAGGGUCAAGUUUUUAGGCCUUAUCCGAGAUAGGAAGCUGUCGUGGAAAUCCAACAUUGAGGAAAGGGAAAGUAAGGUGUCGGUUACCUUGUACUGUUUACAGCAGAGCAAUCGGCAAGAAAUGGAGUCUCGCCAAAAGUGCUCCUUGGCUCUUUGAAGGCAUAGUUAAGCGCAUCUUCUUUUACGGAGAACUUAUCUGGUGGGUUCACACUUGUCAAGCGACUGGCGCUUUAAGAACCACACACUUACACUAGCGCCUAACGUCAUGUUGAAGAUAUUACAGCAAAAUUUUUGCAGCUCCAACUGCUAUUAGGCUCACGCAACUGGCUCGAAAGCUGAUCACUCUGGAGUUCUGGAAGGAUUUUAUUUCGUCCAUGGAAGAACAGACUACUGCGACCCCGAAAUGACUCACAGUAGCUCUUCCGCUACAACAACAACAACCUGACCAAAAAAGUCAACCUUCAAACGUUAUUACCGCCGCUGAUCUGUGGCAACCACUAUAACCUAACCUAUAAUAACAAAAAAAAAAAAUGAAAGUUGUAAGUAAAACUUUUCUAAUAAAUUAUUUAAAGUUCAAAUUAAAAUCUUAAAAGUUUUACUCAACAAUUUUGAAGUUACCAGAUCGUAAAAUUAAACAUACAACUGUGAGUACAGUAAAUGAAAUGUUUUUUGUUUUUAAUAAUUUUGUUUAUCCCUAGAAUAGUACGCCUUCCAAAAAAAGCUGAGUUUAGUUGAGUUUCCUUCCAUAAUUUGCAAAAAUUUUAUUGAAUGAAUCACCCUUUAUCUCUGAAUACAAUUAUCGCUUUCAAUCAGUCCGACUAAUUAAUCAUUUGCUAAGUCUUACUUGCUAUGUAGCUUUCUAAUUUGCAUUCCUCUCGCGCGGUACUUCCUACAGUGUGUGAAAAGUGAUUAGCCGCAUCAAGUCGGCAAUGAAAAGUUUAGCUUUUGUUGGCUUGAUUUUAUUGCAAGAUUUUUCAGUGUGCAUAAAGCAAAGAUAUAAUUUAUAAAUUAAAUAAAUCUGAACGACCGCGACUUAUACGGCGAUAUUACUCAAUGCGGCUAAAAUGAUAUUUUUCAAAUAGUGCGAUAUUUUGACAAAAAUAAAACAACACACAUUAUUGAUGGCGAAGAAAACGAAUAGCGAGAGAGAGCCAGGUUAAUGUUUUUGAAAAAAAAACUGCAACACGACGUCGUUCUAACAAAUAUUCGGCGUUCGCUCGAGGAAAUAUUGUUUAGUAUUUCUUAUGACGAUUUGUGAGUACACUUAUUCUACGUCUACUGUGCAAUAUUUUGAUAUUAAAUGGCAUGAUACUAAUCUCUUGCGAUAUGUUAAUUUCUUGGAUUUUUCAAAAGAAACAACAAAACGAUAGUUGGAAGAAGAUCUAAUAACAAUGAUAGGCUGACGUCUAUGUAUGCAGUUUCGACCUAAGCCUAAGUAAAAUUAAAAUUCACAAAAUCGGUAUUUUACAGGGCCAGAGAGAAAAGUUCAAAUAGAAUCCAAACCUUUUUGAAAACCCGCUCUCAGUAAAAAGAAUUGAGUCAUUGUUUGGCAGAGUAAAGAAUUUUAAGACAAAUAAACACCAAACAAGUAAAACUAAAAAAUAAAUUCUAUGAAUUGAAAACGUUCUAAUUGCCAUUGAGGCUAGUAUAAAUUAGGAAGUUUCGCUAAAUGAAAUUAGGAAGUUUUCGCUAAAUCUCAGAGCUGAAAGGAAAUGAAGGGAUACUUAGCAGAUAGCCGAAGACCUUAAUCAAUACGAUGUCUUCGUACUAGAUCGGUCUAAGGCUUUCGAAACGGUCAGCUGCGCCACUAUUGAUAAUUCAGAUCGUAUUACGGGUAGUAGAAUUAACUUCCAACAGUGUUUUUGAACCCGGCCUCUGUAAGCCGUUUAUGCUGCUGGGCACAAGGUGCGAGUGUAAGUGUACUAUGAAAAAGCUUUUUGUAAGAAAAAAGAGGUUUGCAAAUAUCAGGAAAUCGCCUUUUUACAAUCACUUUUUUUAAGACCAAAUAAAUAAACAAGAACAUCACAAUAACUUUUAAGCCAUUAGGGACUAGUUUCAAUGUACAAAACAAACGGACAGACUUAAUUAAAACAAAAUUUUUAUAUUAUUAAUUAAUUACUUCCCUAAAGUUUUUUCUGUUCAUAUAACUUGUAUUUGCUGGUUGUUACGUAUUGAAAAAGUUUGUAAGCUAUUAAUUUCAAUCCACUUGUAAUACAUUUAUGUGCUUACAUGUACAAUGAUUUUAUUGGAACUUCAAUUGAUUUCAAUUAUAAUUUAAUUAUAAAUAACAUUUACUGAUUU